rnacentral:sRNA from 1 species
CUUAUGAGAGACUAAGCCAGAACCACCCAGCUAAGUGGCUCCCACAUUCAUGACUCACAAAAACUGUGUCUUGGUUUUGAGCUAUAAAUUCUUGCUGCUAUCUUGGACUUUUCCUGAGAAUCUGAAUCCUUCAGCACAUCCUAUCACAUUCCACCCAUUCUUGACCUUCUGUUAUCCUCACCAGCCCCCCUGGGCUUUGUUCAAAGUCCUGCAGGGAGGCUGCAGAGGCGAUGGAAUGCACAGGCUGUGGUGGCUCAGCUGCGGGGACUGUCCAGGCGCCUAACUGGUUGUGUGAGGCUUUCAGAGAAUGCUGCUCCCGUGCUGGGCUUCAGAGAGAGGGCUUGCUGCAGCACAGUGGGGUGGCCUCCUGCUGGUGGCCCAGGCCACAGGGAUAUGGAAACAUGUGUCUAGUC